GUGAGGAAUUUUGCGCAAUGGGGGAAACCCUGACGCAGCAACGCCGCGUGAGUGAAGAAGGCCCUUGGGUCGUAAAGCUCUGUCAACUGGGAAGAAGUNGGCCGGAUUUAAUAGAUAAGGUCAUUGACGGUACCAGUGGAGGAAGCGCCGGCUAACUCCGUGCCAGCAGCCGCGGUAACACGGGGGGCGCAAGCGUUAUUCGGAAUUAUUGGGCGUAAAGGGCGCGUAGGCGGUUCUGUCGGUCAGAUGUGAAAGCCCGGGGCUCAACCCUGGAAGUGCAUUUGAAACAGCAGAACUUGAGUACGGGAGAGGAAAGCGGAAUUCCUGGUGUAGAGGUGAAAUUCGUAGAUAUCAGGAGGAACACCGAUGGCGAAGGCAGCUUUCUGGACCGAUACUGACGCUGAGGCGCGAAGGCGUGGGUAGCGAACAGGAUUAGAUACCCUGGUAGUCCACGCAGUAAACGAUGUUCACUAGGUGUAGCGGGUAUUAAAACCUGCUGUGCCGGAGUUAACGCAUUAAGUGAACCGCCUGGAAGUACGGUCGCAAGACUA
rnacentral:rRNA from 1 species